UACGGAGGUGGCAAGCGUUGUUCGGAAUUAUUGGGCGUAAAGGGCGCGUAGGCGGCUUUGCAAGUCAGAUGUGGAAGCCCCGGGCUUAACUCGGGAAUUGCAUCUGAAACUGCUUAGCUUGAGUCCUGGAGGGGGUAGUGGAAUUCCCAGUGUAGCGGUGAAAUGCGUAGAUAUUGGGAGGAACACCUGCGGCGAAGACGGCUACCUGGACAGUGACUGACGCUGAGGCGCGAAAGCUAGGGGAGCGAACGGGAUUAGAUACCCCGGUAGUCCUAGCCGUAAACGAUGGGCACUUGGUGUUGGGGGUAUUGAGUCCCCCGGUGCCGGAGUUAACACGUUAAGUGCCCCGCCUGGGGAGUACGGUCGCAAGACUGAAACUCAAAGGAAUUGACGGGGGCCCGCACAAGCGGGGGAGCAUGUGGUUCAAUUCGACGCAACGCGAAGAACCUUACCGGGGCUCGAACGGUAACUGCAAUUUCUGGAAACAGGAAGUUCUCUUCGGAGACGGUUAUCGAGGUGCUGCAUGGCUGUCGUCAGCUCGUGUCGUGAGAUGUUGGGUUAAGUCCCGCAACGAGCGCAACCCUUGCCCUUAGUUGCCAUCAGGUUAUGCUGGGCACCCUAAGGGAACUGUCGGCGAAAAGCCGGAGGAAGGUGGGGAUGACGUCAAGUCCUCAUGGCCCUUACGUCCCGGGCUACACACGUGCUACAAUGGUCGGUACAAAGGGUUGCCACCCCGCGAGGGGGAGCUAAUCCCAAAAAGCCGAUCUCAGUUCGGAUUGCAGUCUGCAACUCGACUGCAUGAAGGCGGAAUCGCUAGUAAUCGCAGAUCAGAAUGCCGCGGUGAGUACGUUCCCGGGCCU
rnacentral:rRNA from 1 species